CACGUAGGGUGCGAGCGUUGUCCGGAAUUAUUGGGCGUAAAGAGCUCGUAGGCGGUGUGUCACGUCGGCCGUGAAAACCUGCAGCUUAACUGUGGGCGUGCGGUCGAUACGGGCAUCACUGGAGUUCGGCAGGGGAGACUGGAAUUCCUGGUGUAGCGGUGAAAUGCGCAGAUAUCAGGAGGAACACCGGUGGCGAAGGCGGGUCUCUGGGCCGAUACUGACGCUGAGGAGCGAAAGCGUGGGAGCAAACAGG
rnacentral:rRNA from 1 species